UGGGGAAUCUUGCGCAAUGGGCGAAAGCCUGACGCAGCGACGCCGCGUGGGGAAGAAGGCCUUCGGGUUGUAAACCUCUUUCGACAGGGACGAAGCCACUCGGGUGAAUAGCACAGAGGGUGACGGUACCUGCAGAAGAAGCCCCGGCUAACUACGUGCCAGCAGCCGCGGUAAUACGUAGGGGGCAAGCGUUGUCCGGAUUUAUUGGGCGUAAAGAGCGUGUAGGCGGCCAGACAGGUCCGUUGUGAAAACUGGAGGCUUAACCUCCAGACGUCGAUGGAAACCGUCUGGCUAGGGUCCGGAAGAGGAGAGUGGAAUUCCUGGUGUAGCGGUGAAAUGCGCAGAUAUCAGGAAGAACACCCGUGGCUAAGGCGGCUCUCUAGUACGGUACUGACGCUGAGACGCGAAAGCGUGGGGAGCAAACAGG
rnacentral:rRNA from 1 species